CCAGAGAACUUAGCAGAGAUGCUUUGGUGCCUUCGGGGAACUCUGAGACAGGUGCUGCAUGGCUGUCGUCAGCUCGUGUUGUGAAAUGUGGGUUAAGUCCCGCAACGAGCGCAACCCUUAUCCUUUGUUGCCAGCGGCUCGGCCGGGAACUCAAAGGAGACUGCCGGUGAUAAACCGGAGGAAGGUGGGGAUGACGUCAAGUCAUCAUGGCCCUUACGGCCAGGGCUACACACGUGCUACAAUGGCGCAUACAAAGAGAAGCGACCUCGCGAGAGCAAGCGGACCUCACAAAGUGCGUCGUAGUCCGGAUUGGAGUCUGCAACUCGACUCCAUGAAGUCGGAAUCGCUAGUAAUCGUAGAUCAGAAUGCUACGGUGAAUACGUUCCCGGGCCUUGUACACACCGCCCGUCACACCAUGGGAGUGGGUUGCAAAAGAAGUAGGUAGCUUAACCUUCGGGAGGGCGCUUACCACUUUGUGAUUCAUGACUGGGGUGAAGUCGUAACAAGGUAAGCGUAGCGAG
rnacentral:rRNA from 1 species